UCCGUAGGUGAACCUGCGGAAGGAUCAUUACCGAGUGAGGGCCCUCUGGGUCCAACCUCCCACCCGUGUUUAUUUUACCUUGUUGCUUCGGCGGGCCCCCCUUUACUGGCCCCCGGGGGGCUCACGCUCCCGGGCCCGCGCCCCCCGAAGACACCCCCGAACUCUGUCUGAAGAUUGCAGUCUGAGUGAAAACGAAAUUAUUUAAAACUUUCAACAACGGAUCUCUUGGUUCCGGCAUCGAUGAAGAACGCAGCGAAAUGCGAUACGUAAUGUGAAUUGCAAAUUCAGUGAAUCAUCGAGUCUUUGAACGCACAUUGCCCCCCCUGGUAUUCCGGGGGGCAUGCCUGUCCGAGCGUCAUUGCUGCCCUCAAGCCCGGCUUGUGUGUUGGGCCCCGUCCCCCGAUCCCGGGGGACGGGCCCGAAAGGCAGCGGCGGCACCGCGUCCGGUCCUCGAGCGUAUGGGGCUUUGUCACCCGCUCCGUAGGCCCGGCCGGCCCCUGCCGAUCAACCCCAAAUUUUUAAUCCAGGUUGACCUCGGAUCAGGUAGGGAUACCCGCUGAACUUAAGCAUAUCAAUAAGCGGAGGAAAAGAAACCAACAGGGAUUGCCCC
rnacentral:rRNA from 1 species